UCCCUGGUGGCUCAGACAGUAAAGAAUCUGCCUGCAAUGCAGGAGACCUAGGUUUGAUCCCUGGGUGGGGAA
rnacentral:tRNA from 1 species